rnacentral:snoRNA from 1 species
AACCCAUGGUUAGGACAUUUUAUGAGCAAUGACUUAAAUCUCUCCCAGGCUUCACAAAAUGGUUCAUCUACAUCUUGCUUGAAAGUAGUAAUUUCUGACUUGGCCU